rnacentral:rRNA from 1 species
CACGUAGGGCGCAAGCGUUGUCCGGAAUUACUGGGCGUAAAGCGUGCGCAGGCGGUUUUGUAAGUCUGACGUGAAAUCCCCGGGCUCAACCUGGGAAUUGCGUUGGAGACUGCAAGGCUGGAGUCUGGCAGAGGGGGGUAGAAUUCCACGUGUAGCAGUGAAAUGCGUAGAGAUGUGGAGGAACACCGAUGGCGAAGGCAGCCCCCUGGGUCAAGACUGACGCUCAUGCACGAAAGCGUGGGGAGCAAACAGG